rnacentral:rRNA from 1 species
UACGGAGGGGGCUAGCGUUGUUCGGAAUUACUGGGCGUAAAGCGCGCGUAGGCGGCUUUGUAAGUUAGAGGUGAAAGCCCGAAGCUCAACUUCGGAAUUGCCUUUAAGACUGCAUCGCUAGAAUCAUGGAGAGGUUAGUGGAAUUCCGAGUGUAGAGGUGAAAUUCGUAGAUAUUCGGAAGAACACCAGUGGCGAAGGCGACUUCCUGGCCUGUUCUUGACGCUGAGGCGCGAAAGCUAGGGUAGCAAACGGG